GUUUCAAGAAGCUCAAGUUUUGUAUCUUAACGGCACCACCGUGUCUAACUUGGAACUUUUUUGCAAUCAAUUUGACGGUCUGGAGUUUGGCUCUCUAUUUUGGGUGAUAAACAAAACUCGAAGCGUAAUUGGUAGAAGAAAACUUAAGCAGUGGAUGUGCAGGCCUUUAGCUUCAUCCUAUGAAAUAAACAAACGUUUGGACGCUAUUGAAAAACUUCGCGAGUGUAAAUAUUUGGAAAGUUUAAAGGAAUUGUUGUUAAGAGUUC